rnacentral:pre_miRNA from 1 species
ACACUUAGGGCCUGAUCCAAAGGUCUUUGAAGUCAAUGGGAGUCUUUCCAUUGAUUUCAGUAGGCUUUGAAUCAGAACAUUGUGU